UACAGAGGGGGCAAGCGUUGUUCGGAAUUACUGGGCGUAAAGGGCGCGUAGGCGGCCUUCUAAGUCGAACGUGAAAUCCCCGGGCUCAACCCGGGAACUGCGUCCGAUACUGGUUGGCUUGAAUCCGGGAGAGGGACGUGGAAUUCCAGGUGUAGCGGUGAAAUGCGUAGAUAUCUGGAGGAACACCGGUGGCGAAGGCGACGUCCUGGACCGGCAUUGACGCUGAGGCGCGAAAGCCAGGGGAGCAAACG
rnacentral:rRNA from 1 species